rnacentral:rRNA from 1 species
GACGAACGCUGGCGGCGUGCUUAACACAUGCAAGUCGAACGGAAAGGCCCCUUUGGGGGUACUCGAGUGGCGAACGGGUGCGUAACACGUGAGUAAACUGCCCUUGACUUCGGGAUAACUUCAGGAAACUGGGGCUAAUACCGGAUAGGAAUCCUUGCUGCAUGGUGGGGGUUGGAAAGCUUCGGCGGUUUUGGAUGGACUCGCGGCUUAUCAGCUUGUUGGUGGGGUAGUGGCUUACCAAGGCUUUGACGGGUAGCCGGCCUGAGAGGGCGACCGGCCGCACUGAGACUGAGAUACGGCCCAGGCGCCUACGGGAGGCAGCAGGGGGGAAGAUUGCACAAUGGGCGGAAGCCUGAUGCAGCAACGCCGCGUGCGGGAUGACGGCCUUCUGGUUGUAAACCGCUUUCAGCAGGGGCGAAGCUUGUGGUGACGGUACCUGCAGAAGAAGCACCGGCUAACUACGUG